AUGCUAUAUUUUCUGUUGCCACAGGACUCACCUGCAGGAAAACUCAUUGCUGCUGAGAAGAUCCAACCACAGGCAGAAAGGAUGAGCAGACUAAAAAGCACCACAAUGGACUCACCUACAGAAAAGCUCAGUGCUGCUGAGAAGAUCCAACCACAGACAGAAAGGAGGAGCAGACCAAAGGUCGCCACAAGAGACUCACCUGGAAGAAAGCUUGGUGCUGCUGAGAAGAUCCAGCCAAAGGCAGAAAGGAGGAGCAGACCAAAAGACACCAUAAUGGACUCAACUUCAGGAAAACUCUGUGUUGCUGAGACAGUUCAACCACAGGCAGAAAGGAUGAGCAGACCAAAAAGCACCACAAUGGUAGGGACGGAAGACAGUGCAGGAGAAUCACUUUAUAACCUAGCCACACAUCAGUUGUCACCCAGUUUUCACUCCUCUGUAAGUAAAUAA
rnacentral:lncRNA from 1 species